AGUGAACGCUGGCGGUAGGCCUAACACAUGCAAGUCGAACGGCAGCACAGUAAGAGCUUGCUCUUACGGGUGGCGAGUGGCGGACGGGUGAGGAAUACAUCGGAAUCUACUUUUUCGUGGGGGAUAACGUAGGGAAACUUACGCUAAUACCGCAUACGACCUACGGGUGAAAGCAGGGGAUCUUCGGACCUUGCGCGAUUGAAUGAGCCGAUGUCGGAUUAGCUAGUUGGCGGGGUAAAGGCCCACCAAGGCGACGAUCCGUAGCUGGUCUGAGAGGAUGGUCAGCCACACUGGAGCUGAGACACGGUCCAGACUCCUACGGGAGGCAGCAGUGGGGAAUAUUGGACAAAGGGCGCAAGCCUGAUCCAGCCAUACUGCGUGGGUGAAGAAGGCCUUCGGGUUGUAAAGCCCUUUUGUUGGGAAAGAAAAGCAGCAGGUUAAUACCCCGCUGUUCUGACGGUACCCAAAGAAUAAGCACCGGCUAACUUCGUG
rnacentral:rRNA from 1 species